AUGAACGUGUUCGCGGGGGGUGGCCGAGGCGCCGGCGAGGGACGACGUGGGGGCGCUGCUGGAGCUGACGCCGCACAAGAUGGCGGUGUGCCACCUCGUGCAGGUCUUGGCGCCGCCGGCCCCCUUCCAGUCCGUCGCCCACCACAACCGCCUCAGCCUCUUCCUCUUCUCCCUCACCCGCGUACGUUCCUCUCGGUCCUACGCUCGUGCCCCCUUUCACUCUCGUCCAUGUUGGCAGCAGCAGUGGUGAAUUCUCUUUUCACUACAUGCUACAAGUACAACAUGCAAGCAGAGAAUGCAGCUGUUCUUUUAUUACUUGCGGAAAUACAUAAAAGAGAACUAAUAUUUUCGCUCCCUCUCCCACAGAAGUCCGACAACGCAGUCCUUGGACUCCCUUACGCGUUAGCCAGCCAAUCGUUCUGCAAAUCAUUUAAUUUGGAUCUGCUUGAAGCUUCAGCCACACUUACUCUCGCUGAACUGUGGCUAGCUCUUGGAUCAAGCCAUUUAAAGAGGGCCCUAGGUCUUGUUUAUCAAAGCCUUCCUAUGAUUCUCGUCCAUGGCAGUCUUGAGCUGCGUGCACAAUCUCAGAUAGUCUUAGCAAAAUUUUUUGAAGAUGCUCGUGCUGUUCUCAACCCACUAAAUCAAGCGGCUGAAGACGUGCAGGUUUUAGAGUACCACGAGAUGGCGGCAGAGGUGUAUUAUCUCAAGGCAAUGACAUAUAACCACCUGGGAAAGGAAGGCAAGAGGGAGGAAGCCGCAGCUUGUUUCAAGGAGCACGUUACUGCCCUCGAGAACCUGUGCGACAAGGAGGAUUCACUUGCUUACUGA
rnacentral:rRNA from 1 species